rnacentral:lncRNA from 1 species
AUGAGCACGAUGGCGGAGUAUGACUUAUUUCACAAACAGACUAUGUCUAUAAUGACGCUUUUGAUAGAAACAGUCCUAGACGAGAUUCAGAGAGUUUUUGAAUGUGAAUGUCGCCCGUCUCACGCUGAAAUUAGUAACGUUAGUGACAGAGAUCCGAUAUUAGAGAUGAAUGAGAAACAACGCAGACUGGCAAAGCUCACAGCUGUGAUGGAGACCUUUACCAAGGUGGCUGUUCAAAAAAUAUGCAAAGUCUUCAGUUAUUGCUUUGCGCUUAAACCAACUCAGCUGCAGGGUUUUAAAAGUUACCAUGAAGAUGUAAUGAAUGUAAAAGAGUUGGUGAAGGAGCAUGUGAAGAAACCAGAAAGAAAAAACAGUCAAGCUGUCCGAGAUGUGCAUGAUUCUGCAACUGUAGCUCCAUCAGUGUCUCUGGAGAGACAGAAACUACUUACUGUGUUACCUGAAGAAACUGUUCAACCACAAGAUUCGGUUAAAGGCCAAGAGUGUGCAAAGGAGGAUCAAGUCUCUGAAUUUUGUCCUGAGUCGUCAAGUAGUGGACAAGAGAACCCAG